rnacentral:rRNA from 1 species
CUGAGUUUGAUCCUGGCUCAGAACGAACGCUGGCGGCAGGCCUAACACAUGCAAGUCGAACGGAUCCUUUAAGGAUUAGUGGCAGACGGGUGAGUAACGCGUGGGAAGCUACCUUGUGGUAGGGGACAACAGUUGGAAACGACUGCUAAUACCCUAUGAGCCCUAUGGGGGAAAGAUUUAUCGCCAUGAGAUGUGCCCGCGUUAGAUUAGCUAGUUGGUAAGGUAAUGGCUUACCAAGGCGACGAUCUAUAGCUGGUCUGAGAGGAUGAUCAGCCACACUGGGACUGAGACACGGCCCAGACUCCUACGGGAGGCAGCAGUGGGGAAUAUUGGACAAUGGGGGCAACCCUGAUCCAGCCAUGCCGCGUGUGUGAUGACGGCCUUAGGGUUGUAAAGCACUUUCAGCAGUGAAGAUAAUGACAUUAA